rnacentral:lncRNA from 1 species
UUUGAGACAUAUAUUCCAUUUUCUAGGGUAAGAAAUCACUCUGGUAUAUGUCAUAGGCCACAUCAGGUAAUUUGAAACAAGCUGGGAUGUAAAUAUAUGUAAAUUGUUGUUCUUCAAGAAGUUAAUUCCUAUCCAUGCACAGAAGAUUUAUUUUUCAUUCAAAUUAUUCAGAUAGAAAAUGAUAAUAUUUUACCAUUAUCUUUUGUUGAAUUUGAAUCCUUAUUGUAAAUUAUUUUCUAGGGGAAGGAAUUGGGGGACCAUUUUCUUAGAUGUUAGAGCAAUAUAAUAUAAGCUUACUGUGUGAAUUCAAUAGACCCACAAAUUCAGAGGCCAAAUAAAUUGACCAAGUAAUUUAAUACAAUUUAAUACAAUUGUUAUAGCACUUUCCAGUUUUGGAUAUUCAUCACAUAUAAUAUUUCCAUAAUGCUUUCAAAAAACUUUAUAUUAUGGAAAAACUUCAAACACAUAGAGAAAAUAGUAUAGACACCAUCUAGCUUCAAUAAUUUUCAGUAUUUUGUACAUUUUGGUUUAUUUUUCCACCCAAUUUCUGAUAAGAAAUUUAAGAGCUGAAAAAAUAUAUAUGCAAUAAACUCAGUUAUUUUGAAGUUAAUUGCAAGGUCUCUAUCUUUCCUAACAC